CCUGGUAUGGCCCAGUGGUUAGAACGUCCGCCUCAGAUGCGGAAAGUCACGGUUUCAAACACCGGAUGAGUUAUACCAAAU